UACGUAGGGUGCGAGCGUUGUCCGGAAUUAUUGGGCGUAAAGAGCUCGUAGGCGGUCUGUCGCGUCGAUCGUGAAAACUUGGGGCUUAACCCUGAGCUUGCGGUCGAUACGGGCAUGACUGGAGUUCGGCAGGGGAGACUGGAAUUCCUGGUGUAGCGGUGAAAUGCGUAGAUAUUGGGAGGAACACCAGUGGCGAAGGCGGCUCACUGGACCGGUACUGACGCUGAUGCGCGAAAGCGUGGGGAGCAAACAGG
rnacentral:rRNA from 1 species